GCCUCCUUAGCUCAGGGGAAGAGCACUGGUCUUGUAAACCAGGGGUCGUGAGUUCGAUUCUCACAGGGGGCA
rnacentral:tRNA from 1 species